AAAAUUCAGAACACCAGUCAGUCUGAAGGAAAUUUCAUUUUACUGAUGUUUUUUUCCCCACAGUCCACACAAACAUUUGGGGAACAGCAGCUGAUCUGGAGUCUGACACUGAUUGUCUUGAAGCUACAUGAAGUAUAAUCAAUCAGACUGAUCAAAUAAUCACAAUUUAUCUCUGGAAUGCUUGAUUGUGAUUGGUCAAUGGCAGCAUUUAGCAGUUGUCCUGGCAACUGAUUUCCUGAGGCAUCUAGGAAAUGGACAGAAAACAAAGUCCUGGAAAGAAACACCUAUAAUUAAACUGAAUAAUGAAAAAUCAAUGAUGACUAUAAUAAAUGAAGUCUGAAGAGAUAGAGCAUAAUUUAACGCUCAUGUUCAGCGAGACAUGCAUGAGACUGACCUCCUCAAACAUGUUCUUCCUGAAGUCCAGCUCCUCCAUGAGGCUUUGACAUCGGUUCUCCAGAUCCACUCGCAGUAAUGUUUCAUCUGACAGCUGCUUCUUAGC